UACCGUGAGGGAAAGUUGAAAAGAACUUUGAAGAGAGAUUCAAGAAGUACGUGAAACCGCUCAGGGGUAAACGGAAAAGACCUGAAUAUCCGAAAGGGGAGAUUCACGUCUUACCAGUUGCUCAACUUUUAAAUGAUUUGAGAUGGCCUCUCGCCCUAUUCAGUGUAACAGCUGUGGUAGUGGGUUUGGUCGCUCGCAUUUAAAUUGGAAGGGUAAUGGUGGACCGCACUUCUCCCUUAGUAGGACGUUGCGACCUGUCAAAUAAUAUCCUAAGUAUUUGGCUAAUUUGUCUGUUUUUAGGCAGUACUGAAAGGUAUUUCCUUUAACAGUUUUAGCCGUUUACAUACUGGAUAUAAUUGACAGUAACGAAUCAUGGUGUUGAGCCACUUACUUUGUAAGUGUCCUUUAUGGCUGUUUGCAAGUGGGUUGGUUAAUUAGUUUUAGUCAGAAUUUUGCGGGUCUAACUAUUCCGCCUACGGUUGGUAAACUGUUCCUUGGAGAGUGCUUAUAACACCGGU
rnacentral:rRNA from 1 species